UAGAGUUUGAUCAUGGCUCAGAUUGAACGCUGGCGGCAGGCCUAACACAUGCAAGUCGAGCGGUUGAARRRAGCUUGCUUYYUGAUUCAGCGGCGGACGGGUGAGUAAUGCCUAGGAAUCUGCCUGGUAGUGGGGGACAACGUUUCGAAAGGAACGCUAAUACCGCAUACGUCCUACGGGAGAAAGCAGGGGACCUUCGGGCCUUGCGCUAUCAGAUGAGCCUAGGUCGGAUUAGCUAGUUGGUGAGGUAAUGGCUCACCAAGGCGACGAUCCGUAACUGGUCUGAGAGGAUGAUCAGUCACACUGGAACUGAGACACGGUCCAGACUCCUACGGGAGGCAGCAGUGGGGAAUAUUGGACAAUGGGCGAAAGCCUGAUCCAGCCAUGCCGCGUGUGUGAAGAAGGUCUUCGGAUUGUAAAGCACUUUAAGUUGGGAGGAAGGGCAGUAAGCUAAUACCUUGCUGUUUUGACGUUACCGACAGAAUAAGCACCGGCUAACUCUGUGCCAGCAGCCGCGGUA
rnacentral:rRNA from 1 species